rnacentral:rRNA from 1 species
GACGAACGCUGGCGGCGUGCUUAACACAUGCCAGUCGAACGGAAAGGCCCUGCUCUUGUUGGGCGCUCGAUUGGCGAACGGGUGAGUAACACGUGUGUAACCUGUCCUUGUCUUUCGGAUAUCUUCAGGAAACUGCGGCUAAUAUCGGAUAGGAGCUCUUGCUCCAUGUUGGGGGUUGGAAAGUUUCGGCGGUUGUGGAUGGACUCGCUGGUUAUCGGCUUGUUUGUGGGGUAGUGGCUUCCCAAGGCUUUGACGGGUAGCCCGCCUGGGAGGGUGGCCGGGCACAUGGGGACUGAGAGACGGCGCAGACUCCAACGGGAGGCAACAGGGGAGAAUAUUGCGCAACGGGGGGGAGCGUGUGGCAGAGACGCCGGGUGCGGAAAGACGGGUUACGGGUUGUAAACCGAUUUCGAAGGUGACGAGGCGUGCGUGACGGUACUGGGUAAAGAAGCACCGGCUAACUACGUG